rnacentral:lncRNA from 1 species
AGUCACACCGAGAUCACCGCCACCAGUGGACCAUCGUCAAGCCCUCGUCACCACCGAAAUCAUUGCAAGUCACCUGCAAGAAAAGGAAACACAGCAGAUACGAAAAAACAAAAAAAGGAAACUAAAAUAAAAGGAUUUCAGCAGAUCACAAUCAAAGAUAUGGUAGAUACAGUAAACAAGAAAUGGAAAGAAAUCUUCGAUUUCUUUCCGAGUUUAUGUAAUAACAGUAGUGGCUAUA